GUGCUCGCUUCAGCAGCACAUACACUAAAAUUGGAACGAUGCAGAGAAGAUUAGCAUGGCCCCUGUGCAAGGAUGACACACAAAUUCGUUAAGCGUUCCAUAUUUUU
ensembl:snRNA U6 U6 spliceosomal RNA